rnacentral:rRNA from 1 species
CAGAGGUCCCAAGCGUUACUGAGAAUCACUGGGUUUAAAGGGUGCGUAGGUGGUCCGUUAAGUCAGUUGUGAAAUCCCCGGGCUCAACUCGGGAACUGCUUCUGAUACUGGCGGACUUGAGGCCAGUAGGGGUCACUAGAACUGACGGUGGAGCGGUGAAAUGCGUAGAUAUCGUCAGGAAUGCCGGUGGUGAAGACGGGUGACUGGGCUGGUUCUGACACUGAGGCACGAAAGCGUGGGGAGCGAACGGG